rnacentral:rRNA from 1 species
CAGUUUCUAUCCUCUUUUUGAAAUGAGCUAAUUUUGUACGAAAGGACUUUUUCGCUAAAGCAAUGCUUUGUCACAAAUCUGUGGUUGCAUAAAUAAUAGGGUAUAAUAGGUUGAUUAGCUUAUAGGAAGGGUUA